AUUGAACGCUGGCGGCAUGCCUUACACAUGCAAGUCGAACGGUAACAGGUCUUCGGAUGCUGACGAGUGGCGAACGGGUGAGUAAUACAUCGGAACGUGCCUAGUAGUGGGGGAUAACUACUCGAAAGAGUGGCUAAUACCGCAUGAGAUCUACGGAUGAAAGCAGGGGAUCGCAAGACCUUGUGCUACUAGAGCGGCCGAUGGCAGAUUAGGUAGUUGGUGGGAUAAAAGCUUACCAAGCCGACGAUCUGUAGCUGGUCUGAGAGGACGAUCAGCCACACUGGGACUGAGACACGGCCCAGACUCCUACGGGAGGCAGCAGUGGGGAAUUUUGGACAAUGGGCGCAAGCCUAAUCCAGCAAUGCCGCGUGCAGGAUGAAGGCCUUCGGGUUGUAAACUGCUUUUGUACGGAACGAAAAGCCCUGGGUUAAUACCCUGGGGUCAUGACGGUACCGUAAGAAUAAGCACCGGCUAACUACGUGCCAGCCGCCGCUGUAAAAC
rnacentral:rRNA from 1 species